UUUCCCUACGGGGGGCAGCAGUGAGGAAUAUUGGUCAAUGGGAGAGAUCCUGAACCAGCCAAGCCGCGUGAGGGAAGACGGCCUAUGGGUUGUAAACCUCUUUUGUCAGGGAGCAACGCCGGCUACGUGUAGCCGGACUGAGGGUACCUGAAGAAAAAGCAUCGGCUAACUCCGUGCCAGCAGCCGCGGUAAUACGGAGGAUGCGAGCGUUAUCCGGAUUUAUUGGGUUUAAAGGGUGCGUAGGCGGAAUGCCAAGUCAGCGGUAAAAUCGCGGGGCUCAACCUCGCUCCGCCGUUGAAACUGGG
rnacentral:rRNA from 1 species